rnacentral:rRNA from 1 species
CCUACGGGAGGCAGCAGUGAGGAAUAUUGGUCAAUGGACGAGAGUCUGAACCAGCCACGUAGCGUGAAGGAUGACUGCCCUAUGGGUUGUAAACUUCUUUUAUAUGGGAAUAAAACGUUCCACGUGUGGGAUUUUGUAUGUACCAUAUGAAUAAGGAUCGGCUAACUCCGUGCCAGCAGCCGCGGUAAUACGGAGGAUACGAGCGUUAUCCGGAUUUAUUGGGUUUAAAGGGAGCGUAGAUGGGUUGUUAAGUCAGGUGUGAAAGUUUGCGGUUCAACCGUAAAAUUGCAAUUGAUAUUGGCAGGCUUGAGUACAGUUGAGGUAGGCGGAAUUCGUGGUGUAGCGGUGAAAUGCUUAGAUAUCACGAAGAACUCCGAUUGCGAAGGCAGCUUACUAAACUGCCACUGACAUUGAUGCUCGAAAGUGUGGGUAUCAAACAGGAUUAGAUACCCUUGUAGUC